rnacentral:ncRNA from 1 species
ACCGUGAGGCCCCGUGUGAAGGACGCCGCAGGCAAAACGCUGGCCCGACGAACAGAAAUCACAUACGAGGCGGCCCUGCCGGGUGAGAAGGCAACAAUCUUCAAAGCCCGAUACUUGCACGGAAGGCACGGUCGUAGAUGUUGCGGGUAUAAGCGGGAAG